UAAGUACUCCCUCCGUUCGGAAUUACUUGUCGCAUAAAUGAAUGAAAAUGAAUGUAUCUAGAAUUAAAAUACAUCUAGAUACAUUCAUUUCUCCGACAAGUAUUUCUGGAUGGAGGGAGUACUAA
rnacentral:pre_miRNA from 1 species